UUUAGCUACAGGCUUAACACAUGCAAGUCGAGGGGCAGCAUGGUCUUAGCUUGCUAAGGCCGAUGGCGACCGGCGCACGAGUGAGUAACACGUAUCCAACCUGCCGUCUACUCUUGGACAGCCUUCUGAAAGGAAGAUUAAUACAAGAUGGCAUCAUGAGUCCGCAUGUUCACAUGAUUAAAGGUAUUCCGGUAGACGAUGGGGAUGCGUUCCAUUAGAUAGUAGGCGGGGUAACGGCCCACCUAGUCUUCGAUGGAUAGGGGUUCUGAGAGGAAGGUCCCCCACAUUGGAACUGAGACACGGUCCAAACUCCUACGGGAGGCAGCAGUGAGGAAUAUUGGUCAAUGGGCGAGAGCCUGAACCAGCCGAGUAGCGUGAAGGAUGACUGCCCUAUGGGUUGUAAACUUCUUUUAUAAAGGAAUAAAGUCGGGUAUGCAUACCCGUUUGCAUGUACUUUAUGAAUAAGGAUCGGCUAACUCCGUGCCAGCAGCCGCGGUAAUACGGAGGAUCCGAGCGUUAUCCGGAUUUAUUGGGUUUAAAGGGAGCGUAGAUGGAUGUUUAAGUCAGUUGUGAAAGUUUGCGGCUCAACCGUAAAAUUGCAGUUGAUACUGGAUAUCUUGAGUGCAGUUGAGGCAGGCGGAAUUCGUGGUGUAGCGGUGAAAUGCUUAGAUAUCACGAAGAACUCCGAUUGCGAAGGCAGCCUGCUAAGCUGCAACUGACAUUGAGGCUCGAAAGUGUGGGUAUCAAACAGGAUUAGAUACCCUGGUAGUCCACACGGUAAACGAUGAAUACUCGCUGUUUGCGAUAUACGGCAAGCGGCCAAGCGAAAGCGUUAAGUAUUCCACCUGGGGAGUACGCCGGCAACGGUGAAACUCAAAGGAAUUGACGGGGGCCCGCACAAGCGGAGGAACAUGUGGUUUAAUUCGAUGAUACGCGAGGAACCUUACCCGGGCUUAAAUUGCAGAUGAAUUACGGUGAAAGCCGUAAGCCGCAAGGCAUCUGUGAAGGUGCUGCCUGGUUGUCGUCAGCUCGUGCCGUGAGGUGUCGGCUUAAGUGCCAUAACGAGCGCAACCCUUGUUGUCAGUUACUAACAGGUUCCGCUGAGGACUCUGACAAGACUGCCAUCGUAAGAUGUGAGGAAGGUGGGGAUGACGUCAAAUCAGCACGGCCCUUACGUCCGGGGCUACACACGUGUUACAAUGGGGGGUACAGAGGGCCGCUACCACGCGAGUGGAUGCCAAUCCCCAAAACCUCUCUCAGUUCGGACUGGAGUCUGCAACCCGACUCCACGAAGCUGGAUUCGCUAGUAAUCGCGCAUCAGCCACGGCGCGGUGAAUACGUUCCCGGGCCUUGUACACACCGCCCGUCAAGCCAUGGGAGCCGGGGGUACCUGAAGUGCGUAACCGCGAGGAGCGCCCUAGGGUAAAACUGGUGACUGGGGCUAAG
rnacentral:rRNA from 1 species